UUCCUUUAUAGAUUAAUUGAAAUAAUUUACUUAUUGGUAAAGAUUGUCCAGAAAUUGAAUUUCCCGCCACUUUCUUAUUAUUUAUUCUGUGUGGAUAAACGUUUUGGUUUAGCUGAUAGGCGUUAUGCAUUUAGCAUUUUAUAUUAAACAUUGUAGUUAGUAUACGACGCUAGUACAUGUUAGUAAAUAUUGUUUAUUUUAUUAUUGUAGCAUUUAUAUGCGCUGUAAUAUUGUACGGGUUGUCUCCCCGGGAGUCGAGCCCUCUUCGUCAAAUGAAGAGGUAGGUUUUUUAUAUGGCUCCAUUUAUAUUGUGUUGGUAGCAUCAUUUUUAAGAAUAUCCAUGUACAUGAGAAAUUGUCAUUGUUUGUAUAAGCGUUACGCACUUGCUACUUUGUCAGAUCUGUAAUGUGCAUAGUUCAGUAGUAGUUGUAACGUUUAUGAUUACGCCUGGGUUAGUAGGUGUUCUUGAAUCUUAGGUUCUAAGCGUUAUGCUUCCGGUUGCGUCAGGUGCGUACACCUGUCGUGUUAUUGUGGGAUGGAUUAUUCCACUUUGAGAUUGUAACUAUUUUACUUAUUGUUGUUAUUUGUUAUUUUAGGGUGUUUUAUGGACUAAUAAAUUAUGAAUUGGAACUCAAGCGUUGGAGUCAUGGUGUAGACAAUUUGAAUAACCGACCCGGCUCAAAACGACCGGUUACAUUUGGCGCCCAUGUAUGUGUGUUCUACACAACACCCCUUCGCUGGAGGAGUCCAUGUUAACGGAAGUCUACUUACACAAGACUGUGAUGAUGUUUCAACGACAUGGUGUUUGUUUUCGUAGCUUGAACUUUGCAGUGCAGUGAUAAAUCCUACUGACAUGAACAUGAGGGUGUUUUAUGGACUAAUAAAUUAUGAAUUGGAACUCAAGCGUUGGAGUCAUGGUGUAGACAAUUUGAAUAACCGACCCGGCUCAAAACGACCGGUUACACAUGUCUUAAUUAUAUUGCACAGCAUCAUUGUUUUCCAAAGGUUCAUGAGUAUUUUCUCAGAAAAAUUAUAUCGGAAUUAUACUAUUCAAUUAAGAGCGAAAUCUCUGCUGAUAUUACUGUGAAUAACUUGUGAUGCUUGGUUUACAUUUUUAAAGGAUGAGCAUAUACAUGUAAUCAAUAAGUAUAUCAACUGUAUUAUGUUGUUAAAUGGAUUUCGGGUAGUAUUAUAUGGUACAUUGUAAUGUUUUUUGAACUUUGGUGAUUUGAUGCUGGUAGUAUUUGGUGAUAAUUGGUAUUGUAUGAUGUGAUUAUUUAUGAACCAUAAGGCCACACCGAGGUAUUUUUCAGCACGUAUAUAAAGCUACGAUAAGGCUGAUAUGGAUAAAUAUAAGGCUGGCAGCUGGUUAAUAUUGUAGAUUAUUUAAAUGUUGUAAGUUUUAUUAUGGUCAAUUUCUCUAUAACUUUAAAUCACAUGGUCUUAUGACGCAACAUGUUAAUGCUGUAAUGUUAUGCAGUUAGUGGAGUAUUGCCAGAACAAACUAAAUUGAUGUUAUAUGUACCUGUAUGUAUUGUUUUCAUUAUAUAAUCUUGAGCUUGAUAAAAUGUCCCAAAACUUUAUCCAAUUUAAGAUGUACUUGUUAACAUAGUUGUUAAAAAAAUAUGUUACUGAUUAUUUUUAACUUUCCCAAAGUGUAAUGUUAUAAAGUAUAGAGUGAUAAUUUGACAAAUUGUUCAGACAAUUAAUCGGAGUGUGAAAGUACACUUGAUGCCUGGCCAGCUCAGGUACUUAUGAGAGGUAUGCGUGUAAUUUUGGUCUGCAGUAAUUUCUCAUUUUUACCACUAUAUUUUGAUCCUUCACUUCAUUAACUUUAAAGUGAUUUAUUAUUUUUUCAUAAUAUUCGGUUAACCUCUUUACUCGUUUUUUUUAUUGUAAUCUUCCACACCCAUAGUAAAAUUGUGUAUCCCCAAUUUUAAUUUUGUAGGCGGGGAUGUUAUGUAUAUAGUUAUAUGGGUGUGAGGAGAUUAUACAUUACAGUCUAAGGGAGAUAAUAAAACUCCAGUAUGUAUCGGAGUUAUUCCCCCUUUUGUAAAUCUCUUGUGAUAAAAGAUUAUAAUUGUUAGAAUACAGAAAGAUUUGGAACAGGAAA